UACGUAGGGUGCAAGCGUUGUCCGGAAUUAUUGGGCGUAAAGAGCUCGUAGGCGGUUUGUCGCGUCUGCUGUGAAAACUCGAGGCUCAACCUCGAGACGUCGGUUGAAACCGUACGGCUAGAGUCCGGAAGAGGAGAGUGGAAUUCCCGGUGUAGCGGUGAAAUGCGCAGAUAUCGGGAAGAACACCCGUGGCGAAGGCGGCUCUCUGGGACGGUACUGACGCUGAGAGCGAAAGCGUGGGGAGCGAACAGG
rnacentral:rRNA from 1 species